rnacentral:rRNA from 1 species
UGAGGAAUAUUGGUCAAUGGACGGGAGUCUGAACCAGCCAAGUAGCGUGCAGGAUGACGGCCUUAUGGGUUGUAAACUGCUUUUGUGCGGGGAUAAAGUGUGGGACGCGUCCCAUAUUGCAGGUACCGCAUGAAUAAGGACCGGCUAAUUCCGUGCCAGCAGCCGCGGUAAUACGGAAGGUCCGGGCGUUAUCCGGAUUUAUUGGGUUUAAAGGGAGCGUAGGCCGGAGAUUAAGCGUGUUGUGAAAUGCCGCGGCUCAACCGUGGCACUGCAGCGCGAACUGGUUUUCUUGAGUACGCACAACGUGGGCGGAAUUCGUGGUGUAGCGGUGAAAUGCUUAGAUAUCACGAAGAACUCCGAUUGCGAAGGCAGCUCACGGGA